AGGUACCAAAAGUUUGUCUUCACUCAGCUAGUUCAAGUGAGAUGGGAAAUCAUGAAAGAUCAUUCAGAAGCGCGCUGAAACGAGCAAAACAAGCUUUGCAUGAUUGCCGGUAAACAGUUUGGUUACGAUGGUUCAUGGGAAUUGACAUCACUUCUGUCAAAUUUAUAGAGUUUUAUUCAAAAUGGUGCUAUAAAACCAACUUUUUAGAGUCUAUUAGAUUAUCUCAAUGACUGUAUAUUUCAUGGUUUGAAAAUACUGUUAAGGAUUUUUGUUUUAUUGGUAUCAAACAUCUUAAAUA